rnacentral:lncRNA from 1 species
CCAAGGUCGUUCAUCACCAAGAGGUCAUUCAUCACCAAGGUCCUUCAUCACCAUGGUCCUUCACCAAGGUCGUUCAUCACCAAGGUCCUUCAUCACCAUGGUCCUUCACCAAGGUCCUUCAUCACCAUGGUCCUUCACCAAGGUCGUUCAUCACCAAGGUCCUUCAUCACCAUGGUCCUUCACCAAGGUCUUUCAUCGCCAAGGUCCUUCAUCACCAUGGUUCUUUACCACCAAGGUCCUUCAUCACCAGUGUUCAAUGACCCUUCCCCACAGGGAGUUGUGAACAGCUCAAGGAAGCUCCUGAACAGAUGAGGCAGCUGGUUUGUUGAGAGAAGUUGGAGUUAGAAAAGGGAGGAAAGUUGAGGAGUUGACGCAGAUGCCUGGCCAGUCUUAGGACACAAGAAGUGCAAACUGGGAGGAUUCUCGGAGAACUUGGAGAACAGUGUUCUCUUUUUAGAGGCAAGACCUAGAGAAACGUGUGAGUGGACAGGGACAGCUCUGGCCCCUGACACUGGGAAGAAAGGCCAAGUGUCCUGUGUUCCUCCUCUGCUAUCGUCCCUCCUACCAGAAGGAUGCACCUCCCCUGACCCCGCUUUCCAAACCCAAACACCGAGAUCUCUGGCUGAGGUGAGAUCUGGAGCGUGUCUUCUCUCAUCUCCACCAGAGCCCCGCAGCCACUCGUGAAAGACAGGUACAGCCCCAGCUGGGACGUCAGGGCAGCCGCCAGACAGUUUCUGCCCCCUCCCAAGCGCUGCCCAGAACGUGGACACUGACCCUGUUUCCUCAGAGUAAGCACAGACCUGCCGGAGGCCUGCACCCUGGGAGCAGCCUCACACUGCCGGGCGUGGGGGCACGGGGUGAGGGCACUGCUUCCCUUUGCUCAGGCAGCUUCUGUGGACACGGACACAUGAGACUCUACCCAAGGAGGGGACAAUGGACAGAUGAGAGACAGAGUCAG